AGUGAACGCUGGCGGCAGGCCUAAUACAUGCAAGUCGAACGGCAGCACAGUGGAGCUUGCUCCAUGGGUGGCGAGUGGCGGACGGGUGAGGAAUACAUGGGAAUCUGCCCAGUCGUGGGGAUAACGUAUGGAAACGUACGCUAAUACCGCAUGCGCCCUUCGGGGGAAAGUCGGGGACCGCAAGGCCUGACGCGAUUGGAUGAGCCCAUGUUCGAUUAGCUAGUUGGCGGGGUAACGGCCCACCAAGGCGACGAUCGAUAGCUGGUCUGAGAGGAUGAUCAGCCACACUGGAACUGAGACACGGUCCAGACUCCUACGGGAGACAGCAGUAGGGAAUAUUGGACAAUGGGCGCAAGCCUGAUCCAGCCAUGCCGCGUGAGUGAAGAAGGCCCUCGGGUUGUAAAGCUCUUUUGUUGGGAAGAAAAGCAGUUGG
rnacentral:rRNA from 1 species